GGAAGGAAGAAGAAUACAUAAAAGGGAGCUAAAACGGGGAUAUUUGGGUUGAAGGUGGCCAGAGGCAAGGUAGAGAAAGGCCCAUGUAGAUGAAUCAUCAGUGCAGCCAGGGGAGAAAUGAAGACUUGAUUGGCCUAGGCUUACUCAUCAAAAUAGAGGUACUGAGAGAAACCAGUCAAUCAAAAAGAGCAGCCCAAGGGGCAGAGAGUAUUUCCAAUUUGAAAGGUAGUACUAGAGUGAAUUAAGCUUCCAGGUAAAAGAGGUUUCUAUGGCAUGGCAGAAAAAAAGCUCGGUGGAGAUAAGUUAGCAGUACAGCCUGGAGAGUUAUGGGGACGAAGGGAGAUGGAAGGAAGCAAGUGUGUUUUGGAAACCCUAUGUAGAGAAGAUUUGGAUCAGCUGUUGGGAACAGGGUAUUAGAAUGUAAAUUCUGUGAGGAUAAGGAAGCAGAGAUCCAGAGAAGACAAGUGGCAAAAUCAAGAACUUACAUCCUUUCACACCAAGACAAGUAUCCUUCCAUUAUCCCUCACUGCCUCUCCCUCAGUCUGCAGCCAGCUAGAUAAGACCCCAGCAAAAGAAAGGGAAUGGAGAUCUGGCUGUCCCAACUUCCUUCUGAAUUAAAAAGCUGAUAGGAAUCCAGUUUCCUGGACUCCAGUGUUGGGUUGGUUUGUGCUGGACACUUCUGCUUGAUCUCGUAAGAAUUCUGCCUGAGUUCAACUUUUAAAACUAACAGCUCUUGUAAGGCAGCAUAGACUUUCAGAGUAGGCUGUCAUCUACAAAGAAAAUCCAUUCUGUGGGUAAAGAAGGAAGUGAUACAUCUCUGAGGAAUUUAACUGUGCUGGGCUAAUG